UCCGCCAUGCCCUCCUCUCCCUGAAGGGCCUGCCCCUCCAGCCUUCCAGGUGCAGCUGGGGGUUUGUACUCGAAGUGCUGCCCCCUGCCUGCAUGAGCUGGGUUUCUCUGGGCUGUUUUUCCUUUCUUGAGUGGUGAUUUUUCUCUUAAUGAAAGAAAUCAAACGCUGAGCUGGCAAAUCUGCCAUUGGUCAAAUGGGGGGAUUGGUGUGGGGUCACAGGGCUGGAAGGCAAACUCAGCACAGGAUGGGCCCCUAACCCUGUGGGGGACUUUGUGGCCCAGGGUUCAAGGUGGGUCUAAGGUACAGGGCUGCCUGUGCAGGCUGCCCACGAGCGGACCCUUAAACCACACCCCAGGGUGCACAGCAGAGUGGACCCAGGGCCACAAGUUUACCAAAAGGGUCCUGCAGGCCCAGGGACAGUCUGAAGGCAUAGACUCUAAAAUGGCCGAAAAGCGCCAGCUGCCACCCACAGACGCCAACUGCUCCCCAAAGUCAGCAGGGAGUCUGUGCCACUGGCCUGGUCCCGCAGCCAUGUACCUGUUUUCACAGCACACUCUGGGACUGGGGGCAAAGUCCCCUCAUGACACACAGGCAGGGCUGGGGCCCAUGCCUCACUGGACCUGACCUCUUUAGAGAGAUUCAGACACAACUUUACAAAGACUUGAGUCAUGACUGCAGGACACAGGUGACUUCUGUUGUCACCUUGCUGUGACAGGCCCUAAGAAGCCAGCUCUGGGAAAGCCAGGGAGUGGGCCCAGGCCACUGCCUGGGGGAGGCCACCUCCGGCACCAGCGCCCACACCAGUGUCAGCCCUAAAACACAGCCUCUCAAGGGCCCUUUAUUUUGUGGGGGCCCAGAACAGCUGAGUGGGAGGAAAUUGCAGUUCAGAAUUGAUCUGGAGAAGAAAGGGUGAAGGUCAUCACAUUUCCCCCAGGGCUCUCCUUUCACCGGCCUCCCAAGCUUGGGGAUCAUUUCCUCCCCAAAUGUGUCUGGCUGCCUGGGAAAGCCCGGCCUGCCUGCCUCAGAGCACGAGUGCUGGGGCUCUCUGUCUGGCUUCUGCUCCAGCUUGCAAUCCUCUGAUAUCUCUGUUAACCUUCCCCUCAGAUCCAUUCUCUGGAGCCCUCCCCUCCCCUCUUCCCCUGCCCACCCCGCCCCUGGUCUAGCUCCCAGGGCCACACGUCCCCAGGGCCUGGGCUUGCAGCUGGUCCCCGUUGAUGACGGAGGCCCUGCGCUUGACCCGGUGUUACACCCCUCAACCCCACAUGAAGAGCUCAACGCCGGGAGCAGGGCAGAGCAAGACACAGGCUGGGGCAGUGGGGGAGGAAGCACAUCUAGUCUAGGGUUAGAGAAAAAUCUCCCAAGGAUAGUGAAAUGUUUAAGCUGACAGCCGAAGGAUCAGUGUCCCAGGAAGAAGGAAUAGUAUACAAAACCCAGAGGCAACAGAAAUAGAAUUAGAGGAAUUGAAAGAAAUUGAACAUGUCUCUCAAGGGAAGCAUCAGAGAUGGAACAAGAAAGACCAGCUGCGUGCUGAUGAGGGGGGGUCUGGGGACCAGGUUUAGAAUUGUGACUUUACCACAAAGGAAAGGGGUCACUAAAGGGUUUUAAGAAGGUGGGUGGGAGUAAUGUGACUGAUUCUUCAUUUUAGGAAGAGCACUAUUGCUUACAUGUAAAGAAUGAGUUGGACGCAAGAAGUCCAGGUGAGAGAGAAGUCAUCUCUGGAGUAGGGUGGGUCUACAGUCAUACCACCCUGAACGCGCCCAAUCUCGUCUGCAGUGGGAUGGGGGUUAGUGAUGGUAGGGGUGAUGGGAAAGGACUGAGUUGAAAGAUAUUUAGGAGGUAGAAUCAAUAGGACUUGCUGAUUCAUUUCAUGUAAGCUUGCUAAUGUUAGAGGGAAAAAGAAGCUCCAUAGAACUGGCACGAGUCCUGGGUGAGUGGUGGAUUCACUAAGUGAGGAACACAGGGAGGGGGCAGAUUCUGAGGGGGGAUAAUGAGUUCCCCUGUGGAUGUCUGGAAAUUUAGUUAACUAUGAGCCACCCACAUGGUGAUAUUGCCCACAAAGUAGUUUGAGAUAUAGGUAGGUAGGUGGGUAGAUAGAUAGAUGUGUUAUAAUUCAGGAAAAGGACUUGGAAUUCAAAUAAGAGACUGUUUAGAUAAGGAUGAGGAACCCUGCUCAAUAACUUUACCUGAAGUCUUCAGGAGUUCAUCACACUCACCAGCACAGCUUCAUAAAAGGCCAGGUAAGGAGGAGACAGGACCAAGAAGAGGGCAGAAAAAUUUAUUGCUGAAAAUGGAAACUUGAAUAGGAAACUAACAAAUACCUCCAGGUCUAUAAUGAAAUAUCACAUGGAGAAUGGUGUCCAAUUUUUAUUCAUCUCCAUUAGGACAAAAGAACAAGCUAUCUACAACAGGAGAGAUUUCUAAUAAAAGGCUUCUUUAAUAAAGUAGUUAAAAUCUGGAAUGAGUUUCUUAUGAUUGUGGUAGACUUUUCUUGCUUCGAGGAUUUUUAUGUCAUAAUAUUGUUCCUAUCACAGAUAUUUUAAGCUCUUCAGAAGUGCAGGGAUCUUCUCAGUGCCUUUUGCACCAACCUAUUCUUUGCAUGUGACACUCAGCCUUGAUUUUUAAUAUUUAAAAAAAUUAAUUCAUAAGGUCAAAAGCAAUUUUUACUUCUUAGCAAUGGAACUGACCAGUGCCUGCUACACAAAGAACAGUAGUUGGAUACAUUUGUGACCCCAGGACCUUGCACUUGCAGCCCUGUCUGCAAGCUUCUGCAUUGACUAUGAUGCCACAGAACACAGCCAGAAAACGGGACCCACCAGCAAGGUCCACUAAAGUUGAAGAAACAAUGAACUGCAACCUAAGCUUUCAGGUUCUUGAAAAAAGAGCUAUGCUCACUGCACUCGAGAAGCCCAGGCAGCCUCAGGGAGGCAUAUUUUGGAGGCACAUUAAGAAGCCUCAAAGCCAAAGGGAAUCUACCCUCUUCUUUCACUUUCUCAGAGAAGCCACUCAAGGCUCCCCAAGGAGGAGCCCGAGCUAUGAAUCUUGUUCAGAUCUCAGACUCACGGCAAGGAGGGCCACAUAAGAUGUCUUUUAUCCCCGCUGUGUUUAAGGCUUCUCUCCUCUACUCCUUGUUGUAAAUUUUCCAGUGCUCUUGAUUAAGCCAGGAACUCUUCUUGACCACAAUGUAACCUAUAUGGGUGAUUGCUUUAACCACAAUCUCAACUCUGCCUUGAACCCUUGAUCAAACGCUUCAAAUCUGAGGACGUUCACAUGAUGGCUUAACGCACUGGACCUGCAUACCUUACCCAGAACCCUACUAUCUGAACCCGUCACCUGGCCCCACAAAGAAAGGAGCCAGAACAAUUUGCAAGCCCUUGAUGGAUGAAAUACAAGAAUCCAUGUCAUUACAAUCUAAGAAUUGUUUAAGAACCGGAAGGACUGGGCCAAUGGAAGAUCACCUUAUCUCAGACACAGAAUGUGUUUUUUCCUGAACUUAAUGUCAAAGAGGAUUAUUAAAAUUUAGAAUGAAAUAAAAAACUUACAGAAAAAAAGAUUCACCUGUUCAUUUCAUAGUAUAGUUUGCUAGGUAGUCUAAAAAGUGCUUUUAAAGAAAUAUCAUUAUUAAGAAACAGAUAAUGGUGACUAAAAAUUAAAAAGAAAGAAAACUUUAAAAAGAAAAAUUUAAAGCAUGCAGUACUUUUUUCAUAUAGACAUACUGAUCCGGAAGAUACAAUAAUCAUUUUUUAUAAACACAUGUAUAUGAAAACAUGAAACAUACAUAUGAAAUAGACACAUGAAAAAUAUAUACUAUCUAAAAAAACAUAUAUAACAAAGUACUCCAUAAUCUCACUCUUUAGGAAUAACCUAUUGUGAGCUAGGAAAACAGCAAACAAUAUUCUCUGGAGAAAUUUAGCAUUACCAAAACACUAAGCAUUGUGAUAACCCAAUAUAUAAACAUCUCAUGAGAGACAUAGCAUGUUUCUUCUACUGUAAAGUGUAACACAUAAAGAAGAUUCAAAGCAUGUAAAUGAACAUUUUAAUGAAUACUUUGAAUAUAUACCAUAAAAGUGCCAAGUUCUCCACCUUUCAAUUCAUAUAAUGAAUACCUAAGUAAUGCUCAGGGGAAAUCUAUUAUAUUGUUGCUCUUUGAAUAAUAAAAAUAUCUAGAUAUUAGUCACACUAAAAUCUGACAUACACAACUGAAUCCAUCAUCUAUUCUGUAAAAAUCAGUGGAGAGAAAAUUUAUUUUCUCUUCCCAUAAAAUAACCUUAUUCUACAAUAACAAACUUCCUAAGUGCCUAGGAAUUUUCUAAAUGCAAAUCUGGUAUUAUUUUCACUAACACAGAUUUUUUUUUAACUCAGAAAUACACACCAAACAUGGGACACAAAAAUAAACUAAAAUUUGGUUAUGCAAUUCAAAAUUAAAGCUGAUUGCUAAUAAUUAUUUGUCAAAAAAACAUUUUAGGUAUCAGAACUUUCCACUAAGGAGCGUAAAUUAUUUCUAAUGUGGUGGAAUGCUCUUCUCUAAGGGAUGGUUUAGAAAUGCUCGCCCCUGGAAAUAAAUUGAUGAACUGUAUGUCAGUAACCCCCUUCAGGCUAUGAACCCUUUGUUGAUUACAUUGCAAGUAUUUCCAUCCUGCAUGUAUAUCCCUUUCUGGGAUUUGCUCUUCUGGCUAUUUCAUAAAAAACAGAUGGCAGAUUAUCCUAAUGGAGUUCCUACACUGUGCGAUAAAGCUCCAAAUUUCAGUAUUUUACCAAUAAGCUUUUCCAUCAAAAACCAUAGAAAUAUCCUUAUGAACAUACUUCAACCUUCAAAAUUACUUUACUCUAGUUCUCGCCUAAUUCAAAGCUAAAUAUCACAUUUAUUCUAGAGAUAGAAAAGCUUACACUUUACAUUAUUUCAAAAUACAUUUUAAAAAAAUUGGCAGCAAACCCUGCCUUGUUCCAUCAGAAACAAACUUCAUCCAUAAGGUAUUGGAGGUAGAUCUGAUAUCUUUAGGUUUAUUAUAACGACCAAAACACCCUAUCAAAGGGCUAUUUUCACUGGUUCCAUCUUGAACUUCUAGGUAGUCAUAGGCACAAUUAUCAUGCCUUUCAAUCUGCAACAGUAAAAAUAUGUGAAGAUCUAUCUCAUUAAUAGAUAAAACAAUUUCUAUGGUAAGAACAUUAUGCGUUCUCAGUGCCAUAAUACUGACCUGGCCGGGGAACAAAUGACGUAUACCAAAUGAGAGUGUCUCUGAUGAGGGUGCCUGGUAAUACCUACACUAUCUGUGAAUAAAGGUUGUAUUAAUCUGGUAGACACAGUGGAAAAAAAUCUAUGAAAAAGUGCAUCCACAUGCUUUAGGAUCAACAGAAGCUAACCACCUUUUAAAAUAAAAUAAAAAUACAAGAAAUAAUUCUUUGGAAAACACAAUUCAAGAAAAUUCAGACUUAAAAUUAUCAUUAGAUAUCUGGGCUAGAUAUGCUAUUUCAUCAUAGUUCAGCAACAAAGCCAGAAUUUUAU